UACGGAGGGUGCAAGCGUUAUCCGGAUUUAUUGGGUUUAAAGGGUGCGUAGGCGGGAUAGCAAGUCAGUGGUGAAAGCCUACAGCUUAACUGUAGAACUGCCAUUGAUACUGUUAUUCUUGAGUAUAGUUGAAGUGGGUGGAAUGUGUGGUGUAGCGGUGAAAUGCUUAGAUAUCACACAGAACGCCAAUUGCGAAGGCAGCUCACUAAGCUAUCACUGACGCUGAGGCACGAAAGCGUGGGGAUCAAACAGG
rnacentral:rRNA from 1 species